rnacentral:sRNA from 1 species
GUUUAGCCACGAAUGACAUGAAUUUACACGAAUUAAUUGAUGUAAAUAAUGUAAUUCGUGGCUUUUU